rnacentral:rRNA from 1 species
AGAGUUUGAUCCUAGGCUCAGGACGAACGCUGGCGGCGUGCCUAAAACAUGCAAGUCGAACGAGGGGGGCAACCCCCUAGUGGCGAACGGCGGAGUAAGACGUGAGCAACGUGCCCCAGAGUCCGGGACAAACGCAGAAAUGCCAUGAAUACCGGAUGUGGCCGGGCCUCGGCAUCGAGGCCCGACUAAAGGUCUUUCGCUCUGGGAGCGGCUCACGGCCCAUCAGGUAGUUGGGGGGGUGACGGCCCACCAAGCCGACGACGGGUAGCGGGUCUGAGAGGAUGAUCCGCCCGAGUGGGACUGAGACACGGCCCACACACCUACGGGUGGCAGCAGUUGGGAAUCUUGCACAAUGGGGGAAACCCUGAUGCAGCGACGCCGCGUGGAGGACGAAGGGUCUAGGCCUGUAAACUCCUUUUACCGGGAAAGACUUAGGACGGUACCCGGGGAAUAAGGACCGGCUAACUACGUGCCAGCAGCCGCGGUAAGACGUAGGGUCCGAGCGUUGUCCGGAUUUACUGGGCGUAAAGAGCGCGUAGGCGGUCCGUUAAGUGAGGAGUGAAAGCCCCGGGCUCAACCCGGAAACGGCUCUUCAUACUGGCGGACUCGAGGGUGGCAGAGGCUCGUGGAAUUCCUGGUGUAGCGGUGAAAUGCGUAGAUAUCAGAGGAACACCCAUGGCGAAGCAGCGAGCUGGCCGCAUCUGACGCUGAGCGCGCAAGCGUGGUAGCAAACAGAUUAGAUACCCUGUAGUCCACGCCCUAA